rnacentral:lncRNA from 1 species
UGGGGAACACAGGCCCAGAGAGGUUGAUCCUGGAUAAGCUGGACCUUCUGGAUAUGGCACAGAGGGAGAUUUGGUCUGGUGAGUCUGGGCUCUAGAAAGCAGGGCGUGAUGUAGGAAUGGGCUACCCCCCACAAACUGGAGCAUACUGGCUUUGCAAAGUCUUCCCUCUCUGACUGUUGCUGAUUUUCCAGGCCCCUCUAAUGUUUGCUACUCAUUAUUCUGCUCUUCCGACUAUAGUCCACUGACCCCUCGCCCAGGUCCAGAACUGACCCUGGACUUUCCUGUUUCUCUCCCCGACAUCUCCCACCCAGAGCCUCUGAGCUAUAUUCAGCAUGUACCGGAGCCCAUCAGAGCUGCUCUACCUGGCCAGUCAGGCAGUGGGUUUUGAUGUAACUUUUACAUUUGUUCUUUGUAACAUUAAACAGUGUGUCGUGUAUUUUUAUUGA